rnacentral:tRNA from 1 species
AGGGGCUUAGGUUAACACCAAAACCAAGAGCCUUCAAAGCCCUAAACAAGAGUGAAAAUCUCUUAGCCCCUG